rnacentral:lncRNA from 1 species
GGAGUUCUGAGCUGCAAGAGCCCAGCUACUCGCCGAACCCGGGCCGCCUGCGUGAGUAACUUGGGGCGGCCAGGAGCACGGGAAGGGCGCCAGACAGAGAGCCUUUGGCUGCUUCUGAGACCGGCUGUGGGCUGCCACCGCUGAGCGGCGCGGAGGCUGCAGCGUUCCCUCUCAGGACAGAAAGCAGGCGUUGGGGACUGUUACUCGCAGCCUGCCAGGGGCAGCAGCCGCCCCAGGUUCAAGUGGCUAUGUGCCAGGAUACUCAGGCGCGGCUGUUGGCUGCCCAUGGGAGAGCCAGUGCUCUCCGCAGGUCCAAAGUGCAAGGCCGGGCUAUUCCCGGACUUGCCUAGGAGCAGGGGCCCCCAGCGCGUCUGGGAUUGCCCCGGCGCGUCGGGCGCGCGAACUUGUGCGCAAGGGAGAAGAGCGCUUACCAUGGAACAUGGUCUGCGGGAGGCGGGCGUAGUCAUGAUGACCGCAACUGGAGCAGGAGCAAGCUCUCACCGCCCAUAGUCACUCCCAGGACCCUGGUCUUCCGCGGAGUUGCCGAGUCUGUGUUGGGCAGGGUGAUCUCUGCAGCUGGUUCCUCUUACCCACGCCGCGACUGCAGUUUCAUCCAUCCCAAGGGGGGCGGCACACACUACGGCGUGGCUCUGCGCUUUGCCUUUUCCAUAACUUCCGUAGGAUCCGCCAGCAGUGUACUUUCAGUUUCUACUUUGCGCUUGGUCUGCAGGUUCAAUCUUUGGGAUCAUCAGCAUGGAAUCUUCAUUAUCCCCUCUCUCCUGGGCACCUGCUUCCCGCGCACCUGGAUGAGGACCAGAGGAAUUCGCGAAUUUCCGAAUCACCGCAGGAAAAACCAGCUGGCCUGAAUCAAAGCAAUUCUGGGUAAAAGACUUCCCAGAUGAUCUCUCAACGCCUUGGCAACGCUUGGCGACUGGGAGCUAGAACCAUGAGUUGUUAAUGUGUGCACGGAAGCCACAAGUGUGCAGGACGCAAGCUGGGUUAUUGGAAGCGGACGACACCAAGGAGGCGUUGCCGCGGAUGUGGUGGACGAUGCCAAGUCGUCUUUUAAAAAAGGAAGUGAAGAAUGAUUAAGAGGGUCACGCCCUCUACCACUCCAACCUCUCUAAUCAGUCUCUUUCUGCUCCGUCUGCUGUACAUGCACCUGCUCAGGUGAGACCUCAAGGAAAAAUAAUCCUGUGGGUCCACCUAAUCUGGAAAAUCAAGUCUUCCAAUUUUUUUUCACUAAUAUUAUGUGGGUGUGGAAGGGGAAGGAAGGAAAUUAUCCAACUGUUUCCUGCAGGCAGAGCAAGUCCUUACAGAGCAGGCUGCCCUCAGUGAUGAUGAGUUUUGGAUCUCCCAGAACAUCCCACCUCUUAAAUGUGUAGCGUCUUGUAAGUAUCCUUCCCAAUCAAGUUUAUUCAUAGCUUACUGAGUUCUGUCUCUCCUUCUCUGUUAAAUGGCUUUAUUGAGAUAUAAUUCAUAAAUAAAAAAACUGCACGUUUGAUAUGUGCAGUUUGAUGUGUUUGGAUCUAUGUAUACAUUGGCAAUACUAUCACCACAAUCAAGAUAAUAAACAUAUCCAUCAUCUCCAAAAGUUUCCCUGUGUCUCCUCAACUCCAUACUUUUUUGUGUUAAAAGCACUUAGCAGGACGAUCUGGGGAGGAGCAGUCCCUGGGAUCACUGUGUUUAUCUGUUGUCUCUGUACCCCACUUUAAAGUGUCCGAAAGUUUUCUCACACAGUAAUGUAAUCAACCCCAUUUUGUGGCUGUGGAAAUUGUCAGGCACAAAGGUUAAGCAAAUUAGCCAAGGCCAUGAAGCAGAUGAGUGAGACACCUGGGAGUGGAUCCAGGACUCACAACUGCUCAGUUGAUAUAUUGCCUUCCAUUGCUUCACAAGGCUGCGAGCUGUCCUGCUUCUUCCCAACACACUUGACUGAAGUCAGGUAUUUAAGUUUCUAUAUCUAAGCUGAAGUCAACAGUAUUUCCAUAAGUAGGAUCUUGUCACAACAGAAAAAAUGAAUUAUAAGCAAUGAAUAGAGGUGAAAUAUAUUCAUUCAGAGUCAGUGUGAAUACAUUCCAUCUUUCUUCACUUCCUUUAACCUCUCAUUUUCUCCAGGCUGCUUACAAAUGUAUUCAAUGUGUUAACAAAAAAAUUUAAUAAAGACAUUGCCAGAAUAUCAGCAUUGGGAACAAAGAAAAAUACUUUCUAUUUGGUGUUAGCAUAACUGUGCAUUUUAACUAGGUGUAUAUCUCUCUGUGUAUAAUUAACAUGCUAUUUGUAAAUAAAGUCAAAUAUUAAAUAUAUGAAGUCACCAUUUUGAUUUAUGUUUUUCUACAAAGCACAACCACUCUCUAACAAAUAUGUAUCUGACAGAUUGAUCAAUUAUGGUCUCUACC